GAUGAACGCUGGCGGCGUGCUUAACACAUGCAAGUCGAACGAAGUUUUAGGUGCUUGCACUUAAAACUUAGUGGCGGACGGGUGAGGAACAUGUGGGCAACCUACCAAGAGCAGGGGGAUAACUGUGAGAAAUCACAGCUAAUACCGCGUAACCUUAUAAUAUGGCAUCAUAUAAUAAGGAAAGGAGAAAUCCGGCACUUGAGGGGCCCGCACCUGAUUAGCUAGUUGGAGCGGUAACGGCGAACCAAGGCAAUGGUCCGUAGCCGACCUGAGAGGGUGAUCGGCCACAUUGGGACUGAGACACGGCCCAAACUCCUACGGGAGGCAGCAGUGGGGAAUAUUGCGCAAUGGGGGAAACCCUGACGCAGCAACGCCGCGUGAAGGAAGAAGGUAUUCGUAUCGUAAACUUCUAUCGAGUGGGAAGAAAGAAAUGACGGUACCACAGUAAGAAGCCCCGGCUAACUACGUGCCAGCAGCCGCAGUAAGAC
rnacentral:rRNA from 1 species